GCACCAAUGGUCUAGUGGUUGAAUAGUAUCCUUCCACAGUACAUAUCCCGGUUCGAUUCCCAGUUGGUGUA
rnacentral:tRNA from 1 species